UACGUAGGGUGCGAGCGUUGUCCGGAAUUAUUGGGCGUAAAGAGCUUGUAGGCGGUUUGUCGCGUCUGCUGUGAAAAUCCGGGGCUCAACCCCGGACUUGCAGUGGGUACGGGCAGACUAGAGUGUGGUAGGGGAGACUGGAAUUCCUGGUGUAGCGGUGAAAUGCGCAGAUAUCAGGAGGAACACCGAUGGCGAAGGCAGGUCUCUGGGCCACUACUGACGCUGAGGAGCGAAAGGAUGGGUAGCGAACAGGAUUAGAUACCCCUGUA
rnacentral:rRNA from 1 species